AUGAGAAAACAUUUGCAGAAUGAGCAUUCUGUGACUUGUACGAAGAAACCUCUUGGAGCACAUCCACCAGACCCUUCAUCAAGCAGUGCGCCUAUUGUAAUCGCCAGCUCAUCCAGGAGAAAAGGAAAGAGACGACGGUCCAUGGCAUGGGAACAUUUUGAUGUCAUGGAAGAAGAAAACGAGCAGCCUAUGAAAGCAAGAUGUAAAUAUUGUCCCACUCAGAUCAAGUGCGGACCCAAGAGCGGGACAGCAGGUAUGCUCAACCAUUACAAGAUCUGCAAGGACAAACCUGGACCAAAUGAGCAUCCGCCGAACCUAUCAAGCACUGGUGAUGCUCAUGCACAUGUGAUGCCAAUCCUAAUUGGCGACUCAUCUACCGGAAAAGGUAGAGUGGAUGAGUCCGCACGAAUAAUUGUGGAUAACACAGUCUCCCCUUGGGACAAGGCCGAGUUAUCCAACAAGAUAAAAAGAAUAGCUAGUCAGUUGCAAUUCAUCCGAGGGGAAGUGAGUGAGAUUCCCAAGCUACAUGGAUCAGACUCUCCUUCAUGUUCAGAUCACCACCGGAGUACAACAUCAGAUCAGCACUUAAGAACAUCAAGUCUUCUUCCAAGGAAAGUUUAUGGAAGAGUUACAGAAAAGAGUUGCAUCAUGAAAUUGAUAAUGACAGAAAACAGAUCUGACAACGUAGUUGUUGUGCCUAUUGUAGGCAUUGCAGGUAUUGGAAAGACAACUCUUGCUCAACUUGUGUACAAUGAUCCAAACGUGGAGCGUCAAUUUCACCAUAGGAUAUGGGUUUGGGUGUCUCACAACUUCGAUGAAAUGAGGAUAACAAGGGGAUGUUGA
rnacentral:rRNA from 1 species